rnacentral:rRNA from 1 species
AAUAAAUGUAAUAGUAAUUAGAAGAGAUUAAAUGAUAAGUCAUUAAAUUUAAAAGAUUUGGCAGUAUUUAAUAUUUAGAGGAACCUGUAUAGUAAUCGAUAAUCCACGAUAAGAUAUACUUAAUUUUAAGUUUAUGUAUUGCUGUUUUUAAUAUUUAAUUAAGUUAGAUUAGGUAUAAUUUAUAAAAAUAAUAAAGUAAUUCAAGUCAAAAUAUAGCUUAAUUAAGAUUAAUAUGGGUUACAAUUAAUUUAAUUAUUGGAUUAAAAAAUUUAAAUUUUUUAUGAAAGUGGAUUUAAAAGUAAAUUUAAUUAAUUAAUUAAGUUGAAUAAUAAAUUAAAUAUGU